rnacentral:lncRNA from 1 species
GCAUGGAAUGCUUUUCCAGUAGUUUGUGUCAUCUAUGAUUCCAGCGAAAUAUUUUAAACAUAUAUGCUAAUUAUUGAUGGAACAGAGAUUUUUGAAGGAUGCAUAAUCAUAAUCAAAGCAAAGACUAAAGACCAAAUCCAAAACUCUGUGUGUGUGUGUAUGUGUGUUAGUGGUGGUAGUUCAGGCACUGGAGAGAAAGGGGCUUAAACAAAGAGAAAGAUGUUACAGUAGAUGACAAGAGAAUGAGUGUUUAUAAUGUUAAUUCUAGAUCUCUUGUUUCUGACUGUAGCUUCAACCUGAGAGUCCUCAAUUUGGAAUUAAGACAAGCAGUGUGACACAGUACAAAUAGGCCUGAAAACACCGUGAGAAAUCUAGUUUCCAAUCACUGUUCUCAGUGAUUAGUAAUGUGAUAUUUGACAUGUCAUUUCACCUCCUGGGUGUUCUCAGAGGUAAAAAGAGGUGGCUGGGCAUGAUUACUCAGGUCCCUUCCAGUCCUUAAAGACUGAAUUCUUAAGAGGAGAGUGACCAACUUUACUGUGGUGUGGGUAUUGGGUGGAGUGGCUUCAUGGCAUUUUGGGAUCAAUCUGAAGUUUGUAAUUAAAGAAGAGUUCAGGAAGAACUAUGUUACUUAUUUUUAAAGGACAUUUGAAAUAUUUCUACCACAACUUGUGUCUUAAUCAGCUAUAUUCACAAUAAUGCUAUAUACCAGCCGCUGCAAAAUUCAGUGGCUUCUAACAAAAAAGUCAUUUCUUUCUCGCUUGUGCUUCUGCAGGUUGACUGAAGUUUGGCUCAUGUAGACUAGACUUCGUUCCAGGCUGUGGUUAGCUUUGGGUGUCUCUAUGGGACCAGUGAACUAUCCUGGGUAUGUGGACUGACUCAGGGCUAUGUAGACUUGCAGAGGGAAAGUGCAAUUGCUCAAGCAAAUUUCAGUUUUUCCACCUAGGUUGUUUUUGCUAAUGUCCAAUUGACCAAUGUAAAUAAUAUGACCAACCACAUAGUUAAGGGGCUCAGUAGUACAUUACACAUCCAUAAGACCAUGGCAAGGGUACAGAUGUGUAGCACUACUAGAGGAGAGUAAAGAAUUUGGGCCGAUAAUUAAAAUUUUGACAAUGUGACCUAUAUGUAUAUGGAUGUGUAAUGGAACAAGGAAAGCAAACCAGGCUUCUGGUGGGUUAGGUGAGAGAACAGCAUAGGUUUGAGUGGGGAAGGAUCUAGGCUCUCUAACUCCAUGUCAAUAAUUGACUAACUUGUAUAGACCUAAGUUCUAUACUCACUAGUGAAGUAGUUCCUUAUAGUCUGAUUCAGUGAUGCUCGUAAUGAAUUUCUAUAGAAAAACUAUUCUUUUCAAAGUCGAUGAUGACCUCCAUUUUACCAAACCCCAUAAUCAAUUCUCAAUUCUCACCUUAUUUGAUCUAUCUGUGGCAUCUGAUAUCGUUGAACACUCUGUCUUCCAGGUACAUUUUUUCACUUGGCUUUACUUCUGCUUGAAGACCAUUGCUCAGAACUAGUGACAUGGGUUCAUCCAACUUCAAGGAAAGCUAGCAAAUUAAGGGAAGAGCAGGUAUUCAGGGAGCACUGACUGCUUCUAGCACAUGCUCUGAAGGAUUCUCUGAACCUGCUUCAUUUCCCUUGGUUCCAUAAUUUUGGGGUGUGCCUCCUGGCAUUGCAUCUCUACUAUAUAUUGAUAACAUUCUCUAAAGGUAAGAAUUCUCUAAAGAAUACAUGGAUAAAAUGGCCCUAAAGGGAACAUAGAAGGAAUAAGAAAGAAGCAGUGAACACAUAUAUGGUACUGGUAGUAUUUACUAGCUGAUGACCUCAGCAGAUUAUUUAACCCCAUUGUGCUUCAACUACCUUGUCUGUAAAGAUAGGAGUGAUAAUAAUAGCACCCGCCUCAUAGGAUUGUUUUGAGGACAAAAUUAAUGUACAUGAGACACUUAGAACAGUGCCUGGAACAUGGAGAGCACAAUAAGUCCUAGCUAUUAUUAUUUCAUGAACAAUUAAAUUCUGAAUAAUAGAGAACUGAAAAUAAAAGUGAUUGUAAAUUUAUAAAAUUUUAAAUAAUCUCCUGUAUAAACCCCAGACUAAUGAAGAAGGUUCUCAUUUUAAUAUGUUUUAUUACAAGGAUUAUGGAAACCCAUAAAAAGUAAACACAGAAUGUGUUCCUUCCCUGCACAUGUGGCACUUUGGCUGGAGGUAAACAUUUUGUUUUUGGAAAAGCUGAAAAAGAGCAAGGCAAAAGAGCCAAUGAGUAGAGGGCACUUAGGAUGUGUUUUGGAAUUGCACGCCAUAUUGCUUUAUUGAAACUCUCAUUCAGUAUCAACGGACUGUGUGAUGAGGGUCCCCAGGGCGAAGGGCCCCAUCAGAUGCUUUCAGAGAACUCAGGCCCGCCCCUGCUGAUGUGGCUCUGUGAUGAUGGCUUGUCUUCUAAGUUGUCAGCAGGAAGACAUUCUUGCUGCCUUCUUUCCCUCUGCAUUGCCAACAAGGAAGAACAGCCGGGGAAAAUGAGACAGAAUCUUUUUCCAAUUACAUAGUAUGCAUAUUUUAUUUCAGCCGCCGCCUGUGAGAAACAUGAUCCUGAGUGAUUUAGUGGUGCUGAGGCAAAGCCAGCCUAUGAAAGAUUUGGAAGUACAUUGGUAAAUUUCCAGAAGAUUAUUUGGGUGAAAUGGCAUGGUAGGUUAAUUAUCAGAUUGAAAGCCUUUUAGUUGCUAUAGAGGAGAUACCACAGUCCCAGAUACAGUCCCAAAUUACUCUUAGAGCAUAAAAUGGUAAAAAAAAAAAAAAAAAAAAAAAAGUGAGAAAUCAAUGUGGGUUUUUAGACUCUAAUUGUUUUGAAGGGGAGAGGGCAGAGCUUUUAGAAGACAGGUGAUUUACUUGGUGGCACUUAGCUGCUAACUUUCACUUUAAGUAAGGGUAUAUGUGAGUUGACUCCUCAUUCACAUCUUCAUAUAACUCUUAUUUCUUCAUAAAUGUUCCUCAAGGAGAAGGCCAAGUUGAAAUUUUCCUUGUGCUGAACUAAGUAAAACAUCAGCCAAAAUUCCAGCCAACAGUUUUUGCAAAGGCAUAACUUCUGAACCAGAGUCUAAACAAAGUGAAAUAGAGGAGAUGACAUGAAUGAGGGACUACAUUGGAAUGAAGAAGAACCUGGAGGAGGUAAAAAAACUGAAGGCUCCGGAUGUCGGACGAUGGAAAAUAAAAACAACAAGCAAGUGAAACUCCCUGACUUAUCAACCUUACUCAAGAAAUGGGAAUUUCUGCCCUAGAGAGGUCUUGGAAACUUUCUCACCAGAAGAGCACAACUUGAUGGCAGGAAGCUCCUGAUGGAGGCCUGAAAAUGGCCCUGAAAGGGAUGCCAGGGGACCAGGGCUCCACUAUUAUCAGCGUGUGACUUUGGACAAGGAUGUUAAUGGCUCUGUGACUCAGUUACCUCUUCUGUACUUUGCUUAGGGGUCUAUUGCUUUCCAUUUUGUCUUUUUCAUUUGUUAAAUCCAAUGAUGUCACUGACAGUAAAAACUAGUAAAUAGUAAAAAAAAAAAAAAAAAAAAGUAAAACCAUGGCUUCUCUUUUGGAGAUGGCAUCCCCAUGCUGCCUAUCUUUUCUUACACUUACUCACAAAUAUUUUUGAUGUACUUAUAACUCAGGAAAUACCUUCCGAGGCAAAAAUGUGUGUGGAUCAGUAGAGGUAGCAGCAGCAGUAGCUGCCAAGUGCCCUGAUGGCCUGGAGUCAGAUGGCUACAUUGCACUCAGUUCUCCCAUCUUCCAUAGAUACUGGAUGUUAUCCUUCAAUGUUUGCCUUGAGCCAGAUGGAGAGGAAAGAGGCAGAGUUAACUUGUCUUUCUAUUUUCAUUCUCCCAAAUACAACUGAUUUUUUACUCUACUCCUGGAUACCUUUCUUAUAUCACAACUCUGAUGAUGUAACUUUUCUCAACCAAACUUUCAGGGGACCCUCUAUGAUCUCAGAAUGAAACCCCAACUGUGUUGUAUACAUUUAACAUGCAUUCUACUUUCCUUCCUUCCUUACAUUUUAGCUGCGUGGAAUUCCUUGGCUUUCAAUGUGGAAGAAAGUUUGUGGUCCUUGCCCCACCUCCCCUCCCCAAGGUUGCAAGAAGAGGGGGUUAGAAUUGUGGCUUUCUUUAAUUUGAUCCAAUGCUCCUUCCCCUGCAACUUCUGCUUCCAUACAAUUAAUAACUAUUUUCGAAUCAAUGAAAUAACAAUCAUUCUUUAAUACCUCAGUAUAAACGAUCUUAUUAAAAGUUAUGCAGCCUGGUCCAAAAAUGGCACAGGACAGAGGAUGGGGCCAGAAUCUUUGCCAGGGCACUGCCAAGAAGGGCAUGACCAGUGGAGACACUUGAGUGGAUGGAUGCUGUGUGUCCCAGAAUAUACAUGGAGUUGAGGUACAGGCAUGGCAUUGAAUAUGAGUAGAGCAGUGCAGAAAGAAAGAAAGGAGCAAACUUCAGAAGCCUCACAAGUUUUCCUAGAGUCAUCCCUGUGAGCUUCACAAUCUAGCUGUCCUUAAGGAAUGUUUCUUUUAUGUGGAGCACUGCACACCUAAGACAUUUUUAAUGUUUUGCUCUGCCAAGUGCAGCUAUAAGAAGGAAUUUCCAGGUAGAGAAACAGAAGGAUUGGAGAAAAUUCUUAGAAUCGUGCGUAUAAGGCAAUUCCGUUGCAGCAUCAUCUGCUGUGGUCCUUUGAGAAAACUAAGUGUUUAUUUCCAUGAUUUAAAAUCAAGUCAGUCUUUAUCUAGGGUUUGGGAAGGCUUACAUUGGCUCAGGACCAAAAUGAAGAUAGGACUAGAACUUUCCCAAGAAUGUACGAAUAAAUGUAUGUGUGAGUUUCAAGUUG